GGGGAAUAUUGGACAAUGGGGGCAACCCUGAUCCAGCAAUGCCGCGUGUGUGAAGAAGGUCUUCGGAUUGUAAAGCACUUUCGACGGGGACGAUGAUGACGGUACCCGUAGAAGAAGCCCCGGCUAACUUCGUGCCAGCAGCCGCGGUAAUACGAAGGGGGCUAGCGGUUGCUCGGAAUGACUGGGCGUAAAGGGCGUGUAGGCGGUUUACACAGUCAGAUGUGAAAUCCCCGGGCUUAACCUGGGAGCUGCAUUUGAUACGUGUAGACUAGAGUGUGAGAGAGGGUUGUGGAAUUCCCAGUGUAGAGG
rnacentral:rRNA from 1 species